AACGGCCGCGGUACCCUAACCGUGCGAAGGUAGCAUAAUCACUUGUUCUUUAAAUAGGGACUUGUAUCAACGGCAUCACGAGGGCUACACUGUCUCCUUUCUCCAAUCAGUGAAACUGAUCUCCCCAUGAAGAAGCGGGGAUGAUUCUAUAAGACGAGAAGACCCCAUGGAGCUUUAAACCCAAUAUACACCUCUACGCAUGUAAACCUCAAUAGCCCAAGAAACUUGUAUGUUGGUUUUGGGUUGGGGGGACCGCGGAGAAAAAAUUAACCUCCACGACAAACGGGCUUUGCCCUUAUCCAUGAAUAACCACUCUAAGAAUCAAUAAACUGAUGUUGUGACCCAAUUUAUUUGAUCAACGAACCAAGUUACCCUGGGGAUAACAGCGCAAUCUACUUCAAGAGCCCCUAUCGACAAGUAGGUUUACGACCUCGAUGUUGGAUCAGGGUAUCCUAGU
rnacentral:rRNA from 1 species